rnacentral:sRNA from 1 species
AAGCGUGGGGAAGAGCGGGCUGAGGGACUCCACUAGAGGUUGUCCAUCUGGAUUCCCUGCCUCCCUAGGAGCCCAACAGAGCAAAGCAAGUGGGCACAAGGAGUAUGGUUCUAACGUGAUUGGGGUCAUGAACACGUUGCUGUUGGACUUGGCUUUGUGGUCACUGCUUUUCCAGGCCGGGGGGCUGUCCUGGAGUUCCCAGGUGAGUCAGAACUGCCACAAUGGCAGCUAUGAAAUCAGCGUCCUGAUGAUGGACAACUCAGCCUUUGCAGAGCCCCUGGAAAACUUGGAAGAUGCGGUGAAUGAGGGGCUGGAAAUAGUGAGAGGACGUCUGCAAAAUGCUGGCCUAAAUGUGACUGUGAACGCUACUUUCAUGUAUUCGGAUGGUCUGAUUCAUAACUCAGGCGACUGCCGGAGUAGCACCUGUGAAGGCCUCGACCUACUCAGGAAAAUUUCAAAUGCAAAACGGAUGGGCUGUGUCCUCAUAGGGCCCUCAUGUACAUACUCCACCUUCCAGAUGUACCUUGACACAGAAUUGAGCUACCCCAUGAUCUCAGCUGGAAGUUUUGGAUUGUCAUGUGACUAUAAAGAAACCUUAACCAGGCUGAUGUCUCCAGCUAGAAAGUUGACGUACUUCUUGGUUAACUUUUGGAAAACCAAUGAUCUGCCCUUCAAAACUUAUUCCUGGAGCACUUCAUAUGUUUACAAGAAUGGUACAGAGACUGAGGACUGUUUCUGGUACCUUAAUGCUCUGGAGGCUGGCGUUUCCUAUUUCUCCCACGAACUCAGCUUUAAGGCGGUGUUAAGACAAGAUAAGGAGUUUCAGGAUAUCUUAACAGACCACAACAGGAAAAGCAAUGUGAUUAUUAUGUGUGGUGGUCCAGAGUUCCUCUACAAGCUGAAGGGUGACCGAGCAGUGGCUGAAGACAUUGUCAUUAUUCUAGUGGAUCUUUUCAAUGACCAGUACUUUGAGGGCAAUGUCACAGCCCCUGACUAUAUGAAAAAUGUCCUUGUUCUGACGCUGUCUCCUGGGAAUUCCCUCCUAAAUAGCUCUUUCUCCAGGAAUCUAUCACCUACAAAACGAGACUUUGCUCUUGCCUACUUGAAUGGAAUCCUGCUCUUUGGACAUAUGCUGAUGAUAUUUCUUGAAAAUGGAGAAAAUAUUACCACCCCCAAAUUUGCUCAUGCUUUCAGGAAUCUCACUUUUGAAGGUACUGGUCUACUAAGAGCAAAUAACCCCAAGGUGAAGAAACAUGGGCUUUCUGAGUGGAUUUGGGGCAACAAAGAGGGUUUAGCAAUAGAUGAUUCCACAGCUAAAUCCCUUUGAACUUAACUGGAUGCAAACAUCAGUACAUAAACUUUGAGGGUGCUGUUAUUGAUAACUGAACCCCAGUUUAUGCUUCAGUCUUUUAGAAUCUUUGGAUGUCACAGAAAGAGCAGGUAGCACAGGUUCUGUACUUAUGAACAAGCUCAUCAUAAGGCAUUUUGAGCAGUAAUGUCCUGACUGUGCUUGGAGACUAACAAGAGGAUAAAUAUUUGCAGU